CAGUAUCAUGGAUACUAAAAUAACACUGGUGUUGGACAGGGAAGAGAUCAAGAAUGUGAACUGUUUGGGAGUGGGAGUGGAGGUGGCAGGGUUGGGUGGGAAAACCACAGGACAGGGCAGACGGGGCAGGAUUGAGAAACAUUUCAAACCAUCGACAAACAUUUGUCAGUGAGAAAUAAUUGGCAUGCUUACACUUACACUCAUAAUAUUGUCCAUUGUUUGGCAACUACCCGAAGAGAGAUCUUGUGUCUUGCCCACAACAAACCCUUAGUAUGCUGGUCUGGAGCAUGUGGAAUCUACAUAAAGGUUGUACAGGAAUAAUCCUGCUUUGGCUGCAUACGUCACUUUUGGGUCAAGUUACACUUAGAUGAUCUCUCUUCGUUAAAUGACAUCACAUACCUGCUGUAAUAAAAUUUAAGCAAGUCAAAUCAAAGCAACAAUUUGACUUGCAAGCAAUGCCAGCUGCCAGGAGAGCUAAUGUGUCUUCUUGACCAACACUACAGAACAUGACACCCCCUGCAUGUUAAGUCCAUGAGACCAUAGGUGUCCCAUUGGUCAUUUUAGCUCUCAGAAGGGUGCUCGCGAGUGUCCCCUUUUCGGCUGCUAUGCGCGCUCGAUGCGCACUUCUACCCAGCCUGCACUGAGGCGAGCUCCGCAACAGACUUCUACCCAUCAGUCAAAGUGGCAUUACGUCACGAAGGUGUGGACUCAGAGGAAGGCAGUGAGAGUUUAGGGUGUG